rnacentral:miRNA from 1 species
GUUUCCUGCAAGCACUUCACG